rnacentral:ncRNA from 1 species
GGAAUUAUUGGGCGUAAAGCGCGCGCAGGUGGUUCCUUAAGUCUGAUGUGAAAGCCCACGGCUCAACCGUGGAGGGUCAUUGGAAACUGGGGAACUUGAGUGCAGAAGAGGAAAGUGGAAUUCCAAGUGUAGCGGUGAAAUGCGUAGAGAUUUGGAGGAACACCAGUGGCGAAGGCGACUUUCUGGUCUGUAACUGACACUGAGGCGCGAAAGCGUGGGGAGCAAACAGGAUUAGAUACCCUGGUAGUCCACGCCGUAAACGAUGAGUGCUAAGUGUUAGAGGGUUUCCGCCCUUUAGUGCUGCAGCUAACGCAUUAAGCACUCCGCC